CGGAAACAGGUGAGUGAAGUGAGAGUGAGAACCUUUAGCCAGCCCGUUUCCGGUUGUCAGCGACCUACCCCAGCCGGCGAUACCAUUCAUUCUUUCACUGCUGAGCAGAGGACCGAAGCAACUGACAGUCUCCCCUCUACCGGUCAUCUCGGAAUAUAAUACAACCGGAAGUCUCCUCAGACCCUAGGUAGUAUUUUUGUCCCACAAGUUCGAAAACUUGAAACCGCGACUUUUCUGCUCUGGUUUCUGUCAAACGGCGAAGCUCCCGGGCGCUCAACAGGAGAGAAAGCGAGAGAGAAUCAACACAGAAAGACAAAGAUAUUUGUAGAAAUGUUGGCAAUUGGCAACUCUACUUCCAGUUUGCAUACCGGCAUUGGAUACAAUCUUUUACUCAGAGAGCUUCAGGUACCAAAAAAUUUUUGGGUGAGAAAGGAAUGUAAUUUGGGAGGGAAGUGUUUAACUUUAGCAAAAAAAUUUGAGUUGAAUUGCUCAGCAGACAAAGAAAUGGAUGUGACCACUUCAGCUUUAGUUGAUUGUGUAACAGAGGGCUUAAGUGAAAUAGAUAUUAGGGAGCCUAGUAUUUCAACAAUAUUGAUGAACUUUGAGAAUAAGUUCGAUCCUUAUGAUGCAAUGAGUACCCCGCUUUACCAAACAGCUACAUUUAAGCAGCCAUCAGCAAUAGAAAAUGGCCCAUAUGAUUACACCAGAAGUGGAAAUCCCACCAGGGAUGCUUUGGAAAGCCUCUUGGCAAAGCUAGAUAAAGCAGAUCGAGCAUUGUGCUUCACAAGUGGAAUGGCUGCUUUGGCUGCAGUUACUCAUCUUGUUGGAACUGGUCAGGAAAUUGUUGCUGGAGAUGAUUUGUAUGGUGGUUCUGAUAGAUUGCUGUCUCAAGUAACCCCAAAAUCUGGAGUUGUGGUCAAACGAGUAAAUACUAGCAAUCUGGAUGAGGUUGCAUCUGCAAUUGGCCCCUGGACAAAGCUUGUGUGGCUAGAGAGCCCAACUAACCCUCGUCAACAAAUUUCUGAUAUUCGGAAAAUUGCAAAGAUGGCUCACACACAUGGUGCUCUUGUCUUGGUAGACAAUAGUAUUAUGUCCCCUGUAUUGUCACAGCCAUUGGAACUUGGGGCAGACAUAGUGAUGCACUCUGCUACUAAAUUUAUGGCUGGGCAUAGUGAUGUCAUGGCAGGUGUGCUUGCAGUAAAAGGGGAAAGCUUGGCGAGAGAUUUGUAUUUCCUACAAAAUGCAGAAGGCUCUGGAUUAGCACCAUUUGACUGUUGUUUCUCUACACGCAAGGCCAUGGUCUUAAUACCUCGUAAACAAAUCCAACAGUCAAAUGGUGCUAAUCCAGAGCC
rnacentral:misc_RNA from 1 species